rnacentral:misc_RNA from 1 species
GGCAAGCGCACUGACCAACACCUUGGCGGAUACCCCAUUCCUCGCACGCGUAUCAGCCACAAUGCUCGUGCACGAGGUGGAGACGACGUACAAACUCAAGGUCCCCUUUUUCCAGGGUACGCUGGAGGAGGCAAAGCGGCACGCUCAGCAGGACUCCCGCUACCUUGUCCUGUACCUGCACAGCCCUCGACAUGAAAACACGGAGGCGUAUCUGCGCGAGGUGUUGGCCACGGACGAGAUCAUUGCCCUGCUGCACGAGAGCAGCGUUCUGUUUGGCGUGAGCGUGGCAGAUACGGAGGGCGCGCUGCUGGCGGAGGAGCUGGGCGCCCAUGCGUUUCCGUUUGUAGCAGCCCUGGUGGGCAACACAGUAGUGCUGCGUCUGCAAGGUUACCACAGCCGCGAAACCUUCCGUCGCGAGUGGCGCUUGUGCACCGACGACUGGGAUGGGCAGCUAGCCGAGGGCGUCGUCCUCGCUGCCGAGCGCGAGGCGCGCGAGCGGGCACGCAUCGCUGAAGCCGAGGCCGACUCUGCAAUGGAAGCUGCAGAUCGAGCCAUCCUCGAGGAGCUGCUGCGCAAGGAUGAAGAGGAGCGUCGUGCGGCUGCGGAGCGGGAGGCUGCAGCGCGCCGGGCCGCCGAGGAGUUCGCUGCUGCCGAGCGACUCAAGGCAGAGUAUAAGGCGCGGCAGGCCGCGGAAGAAGCGCGGCAACGCGCGCUCGAGGAGGAGCGCCAGCGGCAACGCGAGUCUGCGAAGCAGGCAGCAAAAAGUAAGUUGCAUGAUGAGCCCUCCACCGACGUGGCCACUAGCGAGACGGUGCAGAUUAGUGUGCGUUGCCCGUCCGGCAAGCACUAUGACCGCCGCUUCCUGCGCAGUGAUCUUGUGGACCAGCUCGCGUUUUUCGUGCUGACAUUGGAUGAGGUGGCGGACGCGACGGAUGCGUCGACGGUGCGCUUCGUCACGGGCUUCCCGCCUGCACCGCUGGUGUGGCGCGAAGGGGUGACGCGCUUCGGCGACGUGAAGAGUCUCUGCCCGCGUGCGGUGGUGCUCCUGCGCCGGUCAUGAGCCAAGUGACGAGUGCGUUGCGUUUCCGUUUCCAGCUGUAUCAGUUGAUAGUUCCCUCCUCCCCGCUACUUUUUUUUUGUGCUCGUCUCGCUACUUCCUUCACGGGGUGGUCUCAAUACUUGGCCUCCUAUCUUACGUUCUUGAGCCUCACUCUCUCCCUCUUUACGCCCUUCACGCACUGUCGGUCUUCCUCUCCCACGGCAAACGGUCGAUCAGGAAUGCGGUGCUUCAGCGAAAGGGUCUUCGGCCUUCUCCGCUCGUCUCUCUUUCUUGCGUGUGACUCGCUGCACAGGCUGAGGGACAGGACGUUGAGGCACCAAGAGUGUGUGAAGAGGGCCAAAAUGAUCAAGUGUAGCAUCCAUUCGAGGUUUCCGUGUUGUCGGGCUUGCGGUGCCCCCCUCUCCCUCUUUG